CCUUCAAAUUUCUGUCUUUUUCCGUUCCACUCUUCAAAACCGAAGAGUGAGAGAGAGAAAGAUAGAGAGAGAAAGAGAGAGACUGAACUACUACACUAUGGAGUAGAGAGAGAAAACAAAAAUCUCAUCACCAGAGAGAGAAAGAGGGAGAAAAGAGUCCGUUAAUUUCAGUUUAAAAGAGAGAGAAAAAAAAAAUGGUGACAGAGGAACAAAUAUCGGAAGCGGUGUCGUCGUUGCUGCGCGAAUUGAACCCUAGCCAGCGGAGCUUCACGACGCUGAACCAGGUGGUGGAGGAGCUGCAGGCCAAGCUCGGUCACGACCUCUCUCACAAGCUCGAUUUCAUCACUGCGCAGAUCAACCUCCUUUUCGGAUCCCAACCACAACCACCACAACCUCCGCCGCAAAAUGCGCAGUUGCAGAUACAGCAGCAGAAAGACCGUUUCGCCCCUCCACCAAACCCUAAUUUCCACUCUGUUCCUGUCAGUUCCGGCUUCCAGGCUACCAAAUUCCCUUCUUCUAACGCUGUCGUCGCCACUCCUGCUGAUAUUUCGCGCGUUGAAGCUCCUGCUCCUGCUCCUGCCCCUGCUCCUGCUCCUGCUAGCGAUGCUCCGAAGGAAAGUACUCAAACAAAGGUGAAGAGAAGAGGUGGCCCUGGAGGUCUCACCAAACUUUGUGGUGUAUCGCCUGAACUUCAGGUCAUUGUUGGCCAGCCAGCACUGUCGAGGACCGAGAUUGUGAAGCAACUGUGGGCUUACAUAAGGAAAAACAAUCUUCAAGAUCCCAGCAACAAAAGGAAAAUAAUUUGCAAUGAAGAGCUGCGUGUGGUGUUUGAGACCGAUUGUACUGAUAUGUUCAAGAUGAACAAGUUGCUAGCUAAACACAUUAUCCCCCUUGAACCAACCAAAAAGCCUGUUCCAAAGAAGCAGAAGGUAGAUGUGGACUCAGGAAAAAGAACUGCUGAACCUACUCCCUCUGUAAUAAUAUCUGAUGCACUGGGUAACUUUUUGGGAUUACUGAAAGGGAGAUGCUACAGUCUGAGGUUCUGAGACGUAUCUGGGAGUACAUAAAAGUCAACCGGCUAGAGGAUCCUAUGAAUCCUAUGGCAAUACUGUGUGAUGCGAAGCUUCAGGAGAUUUUUGGCUGUGAAAGCAUUUCAGCAUUGGGAAUACCUGAAGUUCUGGGCCGUCAUCAUAUUUUUAGGAGUUCAUGAUGCUGACAGCAUUCUAUGUGACAGAUUGCAGGGUGUUAAUUCCAGUAUAGUUGGAGCUGAUCUUGACCUGAUGUUGAUAUGGUUCUGUAAUUUGACUGAUCAGAUUUGUGUUGUUAGUUGAUGUUGAUAAGUUAUUAGCAGAAUGAAAAUGUAAUAGAGACAAGUAUUAGUUUGGGAGUGAUGUGUUUGUAGGUGUUGCAGUUGUUGUUUGUCUAACUUGGCAUUUAGGAUAGAAUGACCAGUGGGUGGGUAUUCUGACACCUGUAAAAUUCUCUGACAAUAGGAAAGAAAAUUAUGUACAAGGUAUCUUCCUUCAAACACUACUCAUGUCAUUUAUGUGUAGCUAAUGAAAUGCAGCUGGCCAGAUGAUGAUGUACA